AGCGAACGCUGGCGGCAGGCUUAACACAUGCAAGUCGAGCGGGCCCUUCGGGGUCAGCGGCAGACGGGUGAGUAACGCGUGGGAACGUGCCCUUCGGUUCGGAAUAACUCGGGGAAACUUGAGCUAAUACCGGAUACGCCCUUAUGGGGAAUGGUUUACUGCCGAAGGAUCGGCCCGCGUCUGAUUAGCUAGUUGGUGAGGUUAUGGCUCACCAAGGCGACGAUCAGUAGCUGGUCUGAGAGGAUGAUCAGCCACACUGGGACUGAGACACGGCCCAGACUCCUACGGGAGGCAGCAGUGGGGAAUAUUGGACAAUGGGGGCAACCCUGAUCCAGCCAUGCCGCGUGAGUGAUGACGGCCUUAGGGUUGUAAAGCUCUUCUCUCCGGGACGAUAAUGACGGUACCGGAGGAAUAAGCCCCGGCUAACUUCGUG
rnacentral:rRNA from 1 species